AAAAUUUUAGUUUAUUUAAAACAUUGAUUUUGUAAAUCAAAAAAAAAUUAAUUAAAUUUUA
rnacentral:tRNA from 1 species